rnacentral:rRNA from 1 species
GAGUGACGGGCGAUAUGUACACGCCUCAGAGCCAACUUAAAAUAAUUAUUCUUAAAGUAUUUUACUAGUAAAUCCACCUUCAAUAAAGAUUACACUUUAUUUCCGUAUUUAUACAUAAAUUGUAGCUCAUCAAUCCUUAACCAUAGGCUACACCUUUACCUGAAGUAAUAGAAUUAUCUAACUCGAAAACUUCCUCUAGGAGUAAUCUGACAACGGCGGUAUAUAAGCUGUUUACAAGAUUAAGUAAGAUUUAAUGGGGAAUAUCAAUUAUACGACAAGCUCCUCUACUAGGAUAAGGCACCGCCAAAAUCUUUGGGUUUGAAGAACAUCUUUUACUACCCUUACAUAAGAGGGGCUAGAAUAAUAGGGUCUCUAAUCCUAGUCUUUGCACUAGCUUUAUUAGGCGUUUUCUAGCAUUUCGAAUUUUUAAAAAAGGUUUGAAUUUUACCUCUAUCUUAAUUUAUAAGACCUAAAUGCUUUCCAAUUAACUAAUCUUACUAAAAAAUUUCACUUGAAUUCUAC